AGAAAAAUAUGAACUCGAGGGGUUUUUUUUAUACUUAUACCCUUUUGAUUUUAGGUAUCGCCUUUAUCUGCGGCGUGUGCAGAUUAAUCUAUAUAUCUACAAGAAAGUCGGACAAGGAGGACAAGGUAACUAUGAACGCAGCAGCUACAACUGUGGAGGAAAAAGGUACACCUCUAACGUAAGCAUGACCCCGACAGUUGAGGAGGGAAUAGACAUGGUCGAGACCAUGGCCACAAUGAAAAACCAGGACCUGGAACUGCUGAGACUGAAACAAAGAAUAAGAUAAUGCGUGCUCGUCAGAGUACUACUAUAUUUUUGUAUGUCAAUAAAAAGGUGAUUUGGUUGAGUUGUCUAAUGAACUCUCAAUUAUAAGCCUGGUUUUAAUUAAGGUUUAUCUAUGUACUCUACAUAAUGAUCAUAGUGUCAAAAUGUCUA